UACAGAGGGUGCGAGCGUUAAUCGGAAUUACUGGGCGUAAAGGGCGCGUAGGCGGCCGCUUAAGUCAGUUGUGAAAUCCCAGGGCUUAACCUUGGAACUGCAAUUGAUACUGUGCGGCUAGAGCAGAAGAGAGGGGGGCGGAAUUUCCGGUGUAGCGGUGAAAUGCGUAGAUAUCGGAAGGAACACCUGUGGCGAAGGCGGCCCCCUGGCUUCAGGCUGACGCUGAGGCGCGAAAGCGUGGGUAGCGAACAGG
rnacentral:misc_RNA from 1 species